AUGUGGGAGUGGCAUGUGGGAGUUCGUCCAUCUGAUGCCCAUGCAACAUAGAAUAAUCAGUAAGAGAUUAGAAGAGAUUUAUUGAGAUCAGUUUAAAGUGCAAAAACGAAAUUAUUUCAGAAGGUUCUAGAAAAUAAAAGGAAAUGAGACUUGAUGUUGCUGGAGCAUCCCAAUAUUUGAGUUAGUACAUAUUUAGGUACUAAUAUGUCAAGUCUGCGUCUUCACCCAGGCGAUUGAAGCUUUAGCAUCGUAUUGACAGUUUAUCAAAUCUUUUCAUUAGCAAUGUAUUUCUCCCACAACAGACACUCUUGAGUAAUUCGGACUGUAAAUUCAACUGCCUGGUAUAUGUGUAAAAAUGCAUGGUAUCUAUUGAACAGACGUAAAGCAAUGCCAUCUUAUCUGUUCGUCUUAAAUUAAACAGAAAGAUCAAUAUAAUCACGUAUGAUACAAACAAUUUCAGGAGGGAAAAAAACUAACCAAGGCUUACCAUUUUGGAAUUUGUUUUAGAGUGAAAUGUAAUUUAAUGCUUACAAGCUAAUUGCUAGGUAAAGUUCUCAAAAAUUGGUAUGGAAAAUAUAUUUACCAAGGAAAGAUUGAUUAAUAUGAAUUGCUUACUUGAGAAUAUCUGUUCG
rnacentral:misc_RNA from 1 species